CAAAGGGCACCCAGACACCAAGACAAAGGGGUGAGGACCAAGAAUGAGAACAAAAUGAGAACACUUGGCAGAGGAGGGCAUGGAGGAGUUGGAGGAGUGGAAGCCAAGGAAAGUGAUGGAAAUUGAAGAGCAUAGCAAUAUUGAAUAACACAUCCUCAUGGAAUAAGCACCAGCCACACUGCAGUCUACCAAUAUGCCUUGCACACUUGCACAAAUGCUGCCAGAGUGACAUCCCUGCUGGGUCGACUGAAUACCAUCUCAUUUCUCACUUACACAAUCAAUGAUUCCUUCUCUUCUUCCCUUCUGCAUGGACACUUUGCUGAACAUAGUUUUGUUUUUGCUGGCCUGACUAGAAAAAAAAAAAAAAGACUUGUUUAGGUAAGAUGCUUAAUUAACCAAUGAAUAGUGCUCUCUUGUUCCUUUCAAGCUGUCUCCCGCAUUUUAAAUUUACUGGACAAUGCUAGUAAACUCAAAUGGGACCUAAUGGUUUUCCUUGGGGAUAGAGAAAGUUAGAAAAUUGCUAAGUAAACACAGCAUAGUGAAGACAAAGCAAUGCCAAAUUCAAAUCUUAAUGAUACCACACACAUUACACAGGUAGUAAAGGAGAGGAUGUCAACAACGUUUGCUUUUUCAUACACAUUAAAAUUUUUAAGAGCUAACUGUUCCAGGAGCAACCAUGUCAAAUCUUUUUAUGCACAAAAUGAUUGAAAAAUGAAACAUAAAAAUAUUUUCUUAUUUGUAUUAAAGAUUCCAGCCUCUCAGACACAUAAUCUGAAGGUUUUUUUUUUUACUUCUUUUUAAUCAGAAUUUUCUUCUUGAAUCCGGAAGUCAAUCCUCCAUUCAUAAUUUUAAAACUUUUUGAAUUAUAUGCUUUAGCCUUUCUAAAUCUGAUUUUUAUUUCAUAGGAAGGAGGAGAAACCUAUUACAAGUGGGCAUUGUGAUUUUAUAAUCUUAGGGUACAUUAUUUUCUCCAAGUAUGUCCACCUGCCUUUAACAAAUAUAUUUAUUUCAUCCUUAUUGACUCUUUAUUAUUAGUUCUGUCUUUGGAUAAGAGUCUGUUCUUUUCCAGGGAACAUGUCCUCAUUUUUUUUCUUUGUUAAGGCAUUUUCUUUUGUAGUAGCUGGCAAUUUGUGACUUCACCACACACUUGGCAGAUAUCCUUAUUCCUCGUAAUGAUCACAUCAACAUCAGCAAUGAAUAUCAAUGAUAAUGAUGUCCCUCUUCAGGCUCUUUCCUAGGCUGAUGCAUCUGGCCUCCUUGAAUGGCAUUCAUUAGAACCAGGCACCAAGAUAAUAAUACACCGAAGCCAGUGAUGCCAGCCUUUCUCUCUUUGACCAAUUACCUCCUGGACCUUGUUCAAAUGGAAACCAAACCACCCUGAAUAACUUUACUCAUUUGUAGAAGUUAGGAAAAUACAUGAGAAGCUACAAAUAAAACCUCAGAGUUCUUUUUUUGGACGUUAUAAAGAGAUGUUCAUUCUAACUAUAUAAUAUCAGCAUUUUCUUAUGCCAUUAUUUGUCAGCACUGCAGAGCAGAGAAUGAGUUUUAUACAGAUAUUCAAAGUGAUAGUGUAUAAAGUAUUGAAAGUUUAGGGCAUAUAUUUAUAUCCUCAACUGUAGGAUAACCUGAUGGUCAUUAAAUUAAAGUCUAGGGCUAUAGUAAUAUUGGAUUAAGAGAGAUUUCUGAACUGUUAUAUCAAUCAAAGUUAUACGAAUUUGAUGAUUAGUGGCUAUAUCACUCAGACAAUUAUCACAAUAUAAUUCUGUAAUGAAUAACAAUAAAAAUAAAGCGUAGUAUUAUGAUACUCAUAUAGGAUGCCCGAUUAUUAUUUUUUCAGUACAACAUGGUAACUGGAAAAUAAACACAGUAAAGAAAUAGAGUUAUUAGCAACACUACAAAACCAGAUUGUGAAUGAGUCAAAAUGUCAGAGUGAUGAUAAGUGUUUGUGGAAAGCAGCUGGAGAUCCUAAUUAAAUCAUAGUUUACACACUUUGAUAGUACUGAUUUCUGACAUUGACAUGUAUACAAAACAUACCAUAUGGUUGCCAUUUUAUAGGCAUAUUUUUACAUAUAUGUUUGUAUGCAUAUAUAGAUAUACAUAUAAGCAUAGAUGUAGACCAAAACUCCUCAUAAAAAGCUUAGCACAACUUUAAAUAAUUUUACACCAACCAUAUAAUCUUUGUUAACUGAUAUUCUGCUAAUCAUAUCUUUCUUUUAAUUGGUGUUUCAGAACAUGUACAGUAACAUUAUGUUUAAUGAUAUUGUAGGAUAGCUUAACAAUUUAAAAAUGGAUUUUGGAGUUAUUGCUUAGAAACCAAAGAAAGGAAAUUAUUUGAGAACUACAAUAGGGUUUCACCAGAAUAUUCCAUUUUUAACAACACCAGGUAACAAGGAGUUAGUAUUUUUAUGUUAGUCAUACAUUUACUUAUGUUCACUGAUAUCUGCCUUUUAUCUCAAUUAACUUAUAAACUUCUCAAGGACAGGGCAUUUGUUAAAAAUAUUUGUUUCUAUGUCUGGUUAUGGUCUUUCAAUAUAGACUGAAGGUUCAUCUCAAAUGAUAAAUGUAACAUGAAAUCACCUCAUAGAUUGUGCUAAUUUAGAUACUAUUCUGUGUUAGCUGUGGUAGCUCAAUUAAGCUGUACACCCAGUGCCAUAGGCAACAGACAUCCAAGUGUUAGGUCUACCCAGAAGUAAAAGGAUCAGGAGCUACUCACAUAUUGGAGAAGAAUCUCAUCAACCAUGAGCUUGGCACACAUGAAUAAGUAAGUCAUUGUAAAACUUUGUUAAAAACGUUUUAAUUUUGUUCAAAUGUUUUAAGUGUUUAGAGAAAAAAAGUUUUGGUUCCUAAAGAGAACUACAAUAAAACAAA
rnacentral:lncRNA from 1 species